UCCGUGCAGUUCUCGCCUGGGUUCCCACUGAAGCUAAGCAAGGUUGAGCCUGGACAGCACCUGGAUUGGGAGACCUCCUGGGGAAAAUCAGGUUGCUGCUGGAA
rnacentral:rRNA from 1 species